rnacentral:rRNA from 1 species
GACGAACGCUGGCGGCGUGCUUAACACAUGCAAGUCGAACGGAAAGGCCCUGCUUGCAGGGUGCUCGAGUGGCGAACGGGUGAGUAACACGUGGGUGAUCUGCCCCUUAUUUUGGGAUAAGCCUGGGAAACUGGGUCUAAUACUGGAUAGGACCAUGCUGUAGGUGGUGUGGUGGAAAGAUUAGUUUCGGUAAGGGAUGAGCUCGCGGCCUAUCAGCUUGUUGGUGGGGUAAUGGCCUACCAAGGCGUCGACGGGUAGCCGGCCUGAGGGGGUGGACGGCCACAUUGGGACUGAGAUACGGCCCAGACUCCUACGGGAGGCAGCAGUGGGGAAUAUUGCACAAUGGGCGCAAGCCUGAUGCAGCGACGCCGCGUGGGGGAUGACGGCCUUCGGGUUGUAAACUCCUUUCAGCCAUGACGAAGCCCUUGUGGUGACGGUAGUGGUAGAAGAAGCACCGGCUAACUACGUG